GGGUUACACGAGACAACACCGAGGUCGAUCAUAUCGGACAAAGUCUUACACUAUGUCAGUGGACAAAUGACAUCCGCGGCAAUAUCUGUGCCAACUUUGAAGAGCUGAGAGAGAUGUUCCUCCAGCUGCUGUACGAGCACAUCAGAGAAGAAUCGAGACCACGAAGUCACAAGGAGUUUCUGUCGAGGAGCCUGAGACAGUGGGAUUCAGCUUCAAGUGGGACGCUUUGCUCACCAUUAAAUUUCUUGUGUCUUCUCUUCGUUCAGUGUUCUCUA